rnacentral:rRNA from 1 species
UACGUAGGGUGCGAGCGUUGUCCGGAAUUAUUGGGCGUAAAGAGCUUGUAGGCGGUUUGUCGCGUCUGCUGUGAAAAUCCGGGGCUCAACCCCGGACUUGCAGUGGGUACGGGCAGGCUAGAGUGUGGUAGGGGAGACUGGAAUUCCUGGUGUAGGCGGUGGAAUGCGCAGAUAUCAGGAGGAACACCGAUGGCGAAGGCAGGUCGUCUGGGCCACUACUGACGCUGAGAAGCGAAAGCAUGGGGAGCGAACAGG